UGGGGAAUUUUGGACAAUGGGCGAAAGCCUGAUCCAGCAAUGCCGCGUGUGUGAAGAAGGCCUUCGGGUUGUAAAGCACUUUUGUCCGGAAAGAAAUCCUUGGCUCUAAUACAGUCGGGGGAUGACGGUACCGGAAGAAUAAGCACCGGCUAACUACGUGCCAGCAGCCGCGGUAAUACGUAGGGUGCAAGCGUUAAUCGGAAUUACUGGGCGUAAAGCGUGCGCAGGCGGUUUGCUAAGACCGAUGUGAAAUCCCCGGGCUCAACCUGGGAACUGCAUUGGUGACUGGCAGGCUAGAGUAUGGCAGAGGGGGGUAGAAUUCCACGUGUAGCAGUGAAAUGCGUAGAGAUGUGGAGGAAUACCGAUGGCGAAAGGCAGCCCCCCUGGGCCAAAUACUGACGCUCAUGCACGAAAAGCGUGGGGAGCAAAACAGGAUUAGAUACCCUGGUAGUCCACGCCCUAAAACGAUGUCAACUAGUUGUUGGGGAUUCAUUUCCUUAGUAACGUAGCUAACGCGUGAAAGUUGACCGCCUGGGGGAGUACGGUCGCAAGAUUAAAAACUCAAAUGAAUUGACGGGGUCAUAGCUG
rnacentral:rRNA from 1 species